AUAGUUUGCAAAGAAAUAAUUUCAGUAAUUUCUGUAGUCAAUUGGAAAUGCCAAGACCACAAGAAAUGAUAAUAGCUCAAGAUUUGGGAAGUACAUAGAAAUCGAUUUCAAUACUAAAUACAAUAUUGUUGGAGCAAAUAUGAGAACAUAUCUACUGGAGAAAUCUCGUGUUGUUUUUCAAGCUGCAGAUGAAAGAAAUUAUCAUAUAUUUUAUCAGCUUUGUGCUGCAUCAGAUUUAGAGGAACUUCGCAUUCUGAAAUUAGAUAAUUGUGAAAAAUUUCAUUACACUAAUCAAGGAGAGUCUCCUACGAUACCUAGUGUUAAUGAUGCUGCUUGCUUUCAAGAAAC